AAUUGAAAGCAACAUCUAUUUUUCUGACUUGUAAAAAUGUGGUGUUACUAGCAAAUAUCAAAUUUUUGUAUCUAUAAACUAGAUUUUAACCCGCGGUAUACUAGGAGAACGAUUUAUUUUUUAAAGUUAAUAUAUAUACAAGUUUACAAAUUGAAUAUAUU
rnacentral:sRNA from 1 species